AACAUAGCAUGUAGGACCCCUUCCCAGCAGAUGUGGCUUCAAUCCACCUGUCAUCCUUGACCAAAGAGAUACACCCCAUAUUUUAAUAGGUGUAGUCCUACUUGUACAGUUUAUCAAGAUUACUUUAUUUUAUUUUAUUAUUAUACUCCUUCUUUAUCAUAUCCAUAUUUAUUCAAUUAUUCUUUCCUGUGUGAAAAUAAUAUGAAUCACUUAGUUAAUAGCAACACCUUCUUUAGUCCAAUUGCAUUAGAUUAUCAUCACUGUUGUCCUAUUAAAGUAUCAACGUUAUUGUCCUUAUAACCUCCUCAUGAACUUUGAUGUUCUUCAUCCUGAAUGGUAACUGUGUCAGGAUGUUCAUCAUCCUUAAUAAAAAACAAAACUAAAACUAAACUUAAAGAAAAACAAAUUAGCCAUAAUGUGAAUAUCCGCUGCGUGUCUCCCUGUGACUCUCUCCCUCCUUCGGGAGAACACGCUCUCUCUCCCUCCUCAGUACGGGGUGCUGUUUGGUGCAAGACAACAGAUAAGGGUGGAAUGUGGGGGGCGGUGUAGUUGGGGAAGGGUAGGGUUGGAGUGGUCCAGCAGGGGGCGGUGUAGUCGGGGAAGGGCAGGGUUGGAGUGGCCCAGCAGGGGGCGCUGUAGUUGGGGAAGGGUAGGGUUGGAGUGGUCCAGUAGGGGGCGCUGUAGUUGGGGAAGGGCAGGGCUGGAGUGGUCCAGCAGGGGGCGGUGUAGUUGGGGAAGUGCAGGGUUGGAGUUGUCCAGAUUUGGCGGAGGGGGAGGUGUGGCUUGGGACUGAGUGAGAGAACUCAAAAAAUGGCGGCCGUGAUGCUAUAACUCUGUGUGGCCUGUCUAACACACGAGAGCGGAUGAGAGACUAGGGGGUAGCUCUUG